rnacentral:rRNA from 1 species
CAUAAUCAUUUGCUUUCUAAUUAAAGGCUAGCAUGAAAGGGUUAACGAAAAAUAGAUUGUCUCAGAACUAGCCCUAAAACCUAUACUCUAUGUGCAGAUACCUAGAUUUUUUUGAAAGACAAGAAGACCCUAUAGAGUUUAAGUACUCCUCUCCUUCCUCCAACUUUAAUUGGGGCAAUUAAGGAUUAAUAAAAAUAUCCUAUUAUAAAAAGAUACCUACUUCAUAAUAAAGACCCUUACUAAAGAUCAAAAGAAAUAAUUACCUUAGGGAUAACAGGCUUAUCUUUCUACCAAGUCCACAUUAAAAGAAAGGUUUGGCACCUCGAUGUUGGCUUAGAGUAACCUAUUAAAGUAGCCCUUAAUAUGGUUAGUUUGUUCAACUAUUAAACCUCU